UACAGAGGGUGCAAGCGUUGUUCGGAAUUAUUGGGCGUAAAGCGCGUGUAGGCGGCUUUGCAAGUCGGGUGUGAAAGCCCUCAGCUUAACUGAGGAAGUGCGCCCGAAACUGCAGAGCUUGAGUACCGGAGAGGAUGGUGGAAUUCCCCAAGUAGAGGUGAAAUUCGUAGAUAUGGGGGAGGAACACCGGUGGCGAAGGCGACCAUCUGGACGGAUACUGACGCUGAGACGCGAAAGCGUGGGUAGCAAACAGG
rnacentral:rRNA from 1 species